GUCGCUUGAUUCCCGCGCACCUGACUUCCUGGGCGUCCCCUUCGGUGGACCGGGUGACAGGGGCUGCAUGGCUGUCGGCAUGUCGAGUCGUGAGGUGUUGGGUUAAGUCCCGCAGGAGCGCGCCCCUGCCUUUAGUUGCCAUCGUUCACGGGGGCACGCGAUAGGGACUGCCGGUGUUAAACCGGAGGAAGGGGGGGACGACGUGUAGUCCUCAUGGCCUUUAUGCCCUGGGGGACACGAGGGCUUGACUGGGCGGCCCCCUUGGUCCCGACUCCCCCCGGUGUACCCUAUCCCAAAAAACCGUUCUCGAUUCGGAUCGGAGUCUGCAACUCGACUCCGUGAAGUUGGAAUCCCUAGUAAUCCUGGAUCAGCAUGGACCAGUGAAUACCUUCCCGGGCCUUGUACACCCCGCCCGUGAAACGACAUGUGUCUGCUGUACUGGAAUGCCCUGAG
rnacentral:rRNA from 1 species